UCCCCGAUAGCUCAGUUGGUAGAGCAAUCGGCUGUUAACCGAUUUGUCGCAAGUUCGAAUCUUGCUCGGGGAGCCA
rnacentral:tRNA from 1 species